GCUAAAGAAAUUAAGCUAAAAUGAAUUCUCCUAGUUAAUGAAUAUGUUUUUGUUUCGACAACAACCAUGUAACCAGUGACAUAAUGGAAGACGGUCAGAAGAAAAUGGAGGAGCUAGCCACGACACUAAUGCAUAAAAUUCUGGAAUACUUAGCUGUAUCAGAAGAAGAAAUGAAGUGGCUUGGUUCACCUGAAGUUGCCAGCACCGCUCUGCAGCUGAACUCUUAUCCAUUGUGCCCAGACCCCAAUCGAGCCAUGGGUUUAGCUCCUCACACAGACACUUCCCUCUUCACCAUACUGCACCAGAGGAUCAGCGGCCUACAAAUAUUCAAAGAAGGAGUUGGAUGGGGUUUAGUACAUCCAAUCACUGGGGCACUUGUAGUGAACGUUGGCGAUCUCUUACACAUCCUCUCGAAUGCUAGGUUUCCAAGUGUUCUUCAUCGUGUGGUGAUGAAAGAGACUAAACAAAGGUUUUCUGUGGCUUUCUUCUAUUCCCCGCCUGUUGAUUUCAAUU
rnacentral:misc_RNA from 1 species